UACCAGCACCCCGAGUGGUCGGGACGAUUAUUGGGCCUAAAGCAUCCGUAGCCGGUUCUACAAGUCUUCCGUUAAAUCCACCUGCUUAACAGAUGGGCUGCGGAGGAUACUAUAGAGCUAGGAGGCGGGAGAGGCAAGCGGUACUUAGUGGGUAGGGGUAAAAUCCGUUGAUCCAUUAAAGACCACCAGUGGCGAAGGCGGCUUGCCAGAACGCACUCGACGGUGAGGGAUGAAAGCUGGGGGAGCAAACCGG
rnacentral:rRNA from 1 species